rnacentral:rRNA from 1 species
CAGUCGCCGCGGUAAUACGAAGGGGGCUAGCGUUGUUCGGAUUUACUGGGCGUAAAGGGCGCGUAGGCGGGCGAAUAAGUCAGGGGUGAAAUCCCAAGGCUCAACCUUGGAACUGCCUUUGAUACUGUUUGUCUUGAGUUCGAGAGAGGUAAGCGGAACUGCGAGUGUAGAGGUGAAAUUCGUAGAUAUUCGCAAGAACACCAGUGGCGAAGGCGGCUUACUGGCUCGAAACUGACGCUGAGGCGCGAAAGCGUGGGGAGCAAACAGGAUUAGAUACCCCAGUAGUCCCUGUCUCUUAUAC